rnacentral:piRNA from 1 species
UGCAAAGAAGGAACAGGUUAGCUACUAUGGC